CAGCCGUAAACUAUGCGCGUUAGGUGUACUGGUGACCACGAGUCACCGGGUGCCGAAGGGAAACCGUGAAACGUGCCGCCUGGGAAGUACGGUCGCAAGGCUGAAACUUAAAGGAAUUGGCGGGGGAGCACCACAACAGGUGGAGCCUGCGGUUUAAUUGGACUCAACGCCGGAAAUCUCACCGGAUAGGACAGACAUAUGAUAGUCGGGCUGAAGACUCUACUUGAUGAUCUGAGAGGAGGUGCAUGGCGUCAGUGACU
rnacentral:rRNA from 1 species